rnacentral:rRNA from 1 species
CGUGGGUAACCUGCCCAAGAGACUGGGAUAACACCUGGAAACAGAUGCUAAUACCGGAUAACAACACUAGACGCAUAUCUAGAGUUUAAAAGAUGGUUCUGCUAUCACUCUUGGAUGGACCUGCGGUGCAUUAGCUAGUUGGUAAGGUAACGGCUUACCAAGGCAAUGAUGCAUAGCCGAGUUGAGAGACUGAUCGGCCACAUUGGGACUGAGACACGGCCCAAACUCCUACGGGAGGCAGCAG